GGGUCAUGUCCAUUUCAGGACAAGUUCUGCUCUAAAUUCUUUAACUCAAUCACACAGGGAGCUCAUGAAGGAAUGGGCAGCAGUGUGGUACAGUGUUUAGGGAGCUGGGCUUGUAACUGAAAGGCUGCUCAUCUGAUUCCCAGCUGGAGUGCUGCAGUUGUACCAGCGAGCAAAGGCACUUCAGUAAAUAUCCAGCCAUAUCAAUGGAUUGCAUGUAAAAUGAGUCGCACCGGGUGAUGGCAUCUGCUGAACACCUUCAUGUAAACUGCAGGGAACUGAUAACUUUUGUAAACUUGCAUGAGCGGUUUUAUGGUGGUGUAAAACCCAGGGUUGGGCAACUCCGGUCCUGGAGGCCCGGAAUGUGUGCAGGUUUCUGUUUCCACCAGUUACCCUGGGUAAAUGAGCCACCAGGCUGCAUGCGCCGAUUACCCCUGUAAAACAUUUCACACAGGGACACGAGAACAGUCCUCGGCUGGCGUUCAUGCACUUAUCAACAAAUGUAGCAAAAAUGUCCGAUGGCUUAAACGUUAGGGCUAAUUAAGUAACCAAGGCCAGGAGUUGGCAUGUAAACCAGAAACAGGUACAGCCCUCGUUGGUGUAAUCUAUGACUGAACCACCAUGGGUAUAUAGACAGCCAGCUGUGGUAGGGGCAAUGAGUGGAAACAAAAACCUGUAUACGCACCAGCCCUCCGGUGUUCCCUCACACUGUGUGUGGAAAGGUGAAAUUAGCACAGCUGAUGUGUCGAUUAAGACGACUGGCUGAAAUGAUCAAGGCGUGAACUUGCGGUGCACACCCUAAAGUCUGGCAGGGCUGUGUGAAGGUUGGGGUGCUGCGUUAGGAGAGCGUUAAAAGCAGGGGUGCACAACUCUGGAUCUGGAGGGUCGGUCUGCGUGCUGGCUUUUGUUAGAAACUAUUGCCUUAGUUUAUAGAGCUGUCAGAAGAUAACCGUGCUGUACUUACUCCUGUACUUGAGCACAGUAAAAUAUUUAUUAUUAGAUCGA